UACGGAGGAUCCAAGCGUUAUCCGGAUUCACUGGGUUUAAAGGGUGCGUAGGCGGAAUGAAAAGUCAGUGGUGAAAGCCUGUAGCUUAACUACAGAACUGCCAUUGAUACUGUCAUUCUUGAGUAUAUUUGAUGUGAGUGGAAUGUGUCGUGUAGCGGUGAAAUGCUUAGAUAUGACACAGAACACCUAUUGCGAAGGCAGCUCACAAAACUAUAACUGACGCUGAGGCACGAAAGCGUGGGGAUCAAACAGG
rnacentral:rRNA from 1 species